UUUUUAAUUUUUAAUUUUUUUAUAUUUCAAUAAUGAUUUAUUAUACAUAUAAAUAACAAAGGCAUAAGAGUCUUUUGCCACUUUCAUGAAUAAUGUAUUUUUGAAAAUGUCUUCUUAGUAGUGAUAAAAAUGAAAAGUGGUAAACAUGUAAUUUCCCCUGUGAUCCACAUAUUCCAAAAUAAUACCAAGCUUUUUAAUAAUAAAUAAAUAAUAGAAUAAUAUUUUUUUCUUCAAAAUUUAACUCUUUUUUUUCUUAAAAUGAACAUGUUCUUCAAUGAUCUACUUCAUUUUUUUUUCUUCCAAAAAACAUUCUAAUAUAUUCUAUCACCUUUUUAUAAUUAUUUUUUUAAUAAUACCUUAUAUUUUUAAGGCUUUACUUAUUUUGCCCAAUUAUUUUUUAAGGGUAAUUCAACACAAUUACUAUUUAUAUAAGUUAAAUAUUAUUAUCUGAUACUAUUACAUAUAAUAUAAAUAAAUAACAAAGAAUAUAAGAUUUUAUAAAAACACCAUAUAUAUAUCACUUUAAUUGAUUAACCAAAGUAUUCUGAAACGAAAAGUAAAUUUCUUCUAUUCUAAAUUCUUCUAAAUCAAAUAUAGAAUUCUCCAAAAUUAAUAUUUUCAUGUUCUUUGUUAAUACCAUCUGAUUAAAUGAAAAUAAUAAUGAAUUUAAUUGGAUGAUACCAAUACUUAUAAUUUAUCUAAUUACAAAGUAACAACAAGUUAAAGCUAAGAAUUAGUUUGUAAAUAAAAAUGUUUAUCUUACAAAAAUGAAGAACUAAACAACACUGAAGAAAUACUGUUCAAUUCUUUGAAAAUUUUGAAAUAUGAAAACAUGUUACAAGAGCAAAUAAAAAGUUAGAAACGAUGCACUGUUGGAGAUGGUCUUACUGCAUAUAUACUUCUGACUUUUGAUUCAUUGAACAUAUUAACUUAUAGGAAUUCGUCAAUGCAUAUCAAUGCGGAGCAUUAACUAGAGGUGGACAUAAAUCGAAUACUACUAUAAUUUUUAGUGUUUGUGAUUUACUUUGUAUUUAACGGAUAUCUAAUUUUUUUUAUUUGCUUUGCUUCAGAAAAUAGGGAUAUCCAGUUUUCCAGAUAUCCAAAAAUUACUGAUAUUUGCGAAUAUUUACGAAUAUCUAAUCCACUUUGUUUACAAGAAUAAUUUCUUAAAAAAAACUAUAUGAGACUUUUUCAAAAAAUAUCUUUUACAUAAUAUAAAAGAAAAAAGUAAAGAUCAGUGAAACUACAUGUUCCAUAAAUUUUAAAAUUAUUUAAAUUAUUUAUGAAACAUAAAAUUUAGAAAAUUGUAAUUUUAUAACGAUUUUGUAUUCCUUUAUUAAUUUAAUACUUUUAUAAAUAAAAUUAUAUGUUAAAAUAAUAUUUAUAGGAAAUUAUACAUUUAAAAUUUUAUAUUAAUUGUAGAUAUAUAUAUAUAUAUAUAUAUAUAUCUAUUGUGUAAAACUCGAAGCGGAGCGGAUAUCCGAGUUUAAAUUUUUAGUAUUUGUGAUUUGUUUUAUUUUAACGGAUAUUGAUAUUUAAUAUUGCUUUGUUUCGAAGACUUACAGAUAUUUGAAAAUUUUGGAUCUAAUCGAAAUGAAUAACUGAUCGAAUCAAAAUUAUCGUAUAAAAUACUCACCUUACCGUUAACCAAAUAAUAUUUAGUGGGAAAAUAGUUUCGUUGAAUGAAAAAACGCAAAGAUGUGACUGUGUGCUGCUUUUCUUAUUGCAUGUAUGGGUCCAAAGCCAGCUCAUGUUGGGCCCUUUUUGUCUGUAGAUUUUUGCACGUCUUCAAUAGACAUUGAAAAUAACUACUAAGAAAAGAAUUGGAAAGACGGACAUUCCUUAUAUAUGUACGCAAAUGUUUGUAACUUUGUAUAUAUGAACUUAUGAAGUGUGAUAAAUCACUGCACAAUUGACGUGACAUGUUUAUCCAACCUUGUAUAUAAUGCUCGGUAAUGUAAACUUAUAUAGAAGUAAUAAACUAAUUUUAAUAAUAUGAUGAAUGGAAAAAUGUAAUUACUGGUCGAGAGUAAGGAUAAAAUUUCGCUUACUGCGACUCCAUCUCCAUGUUUACACUUCAAAUAGCAAAUUAUUUUCUGCGUAUAUAAAAAUUAGUAUGGAAGCAUCUUUUGACUUUUGACUUUUUGAGUAUAUUUAAGCUGUGAGUCUGUGACGAGAUUUAUUAAUCCUCUCCCUAAUUCUCUUUAUGGAGAGGAUUAUAUAAGCUUUGAAGUGUAUAUUUAAUCCUCUCCCUAAUUCUCUUUAUUAAUCCUCUCCCUAAUCUCUUUUUAUUGAAAAUAGAAACAAUAAAAAGACAUAAUGGAAAGUAAAAGACACUUGAUUAAAAAUAUAUUUACUAAAUAAAAGUUCUAAAAUUUCAUAUUAUGAGAGGCAGAAAAGCGUAAUGAAAGAAUGGAAGAAGAUACUUUAGAUGCUUUCUUUGCUUUCGUCAUCAAAUAUCUUGUAUUUCCAUUCAAAUUUUGUUCACUUCUGAUUGUUUUUAGUUGCCAGCGAUUUCACGGUUAUAAGUAGUUUUGAAAAUUUAAUAUAAUAUGAUAUUUUAAUAUAUUUUUGACAUGCUAAAAUUAAUUUAUUAUAUAUAUUUUUACAUAAAUAUAUUUGAGAUUUAUAUUUACUAUUUAUUACUUUUAAAACAUAUAAAUAUGACUGGAUUUAUAGUAUCUUAUUUGACUUUUUUCAACAACCGAAAAAUAGUCAGUAUAUGCUUCUAUUUAAUUACUUACAAUAAAAUUAAAUUUAUAUGUUGUGCAGUGUCUAACAUUUUGAUUUACAAAUUUUAAUUUAUUAUAUUACAUGAUAUUCACAUAUUCCAAUAAUAUUUGAUAAAAUGAUAUGUACAUGAUAAUAAUUUAUAAAAUCACUAAAAUUUUCAUGACUAAUAUGAAUUAGAGUAAUUUACUAUGUGGAUUAUUUCACACCCAAAAUGCAAGAUUUGACGUAAAUAACCAGUUAUUCUGGCUAGUGGAGAGCUCAGAGACAUUAUGAGAUCAAUCGUCAUUGAAAUAGCUCAUAUGAUUUUUCUUACAACGUAAUUGAUAAAGUUUGUAAGUCAAGUUUACAUGAUUAUUCUUAAAAUCUAACAUUGAGAACUAAAUAUAUGGUUGAGUAACAUUCUCGUCCAUCGAGAAAAAAAAAAUAUCUCUUGAGGUUUGGUGUCUACUCACAUCAGUUUUAAAUUUGUUUUUCCUUGCAAACUAAAUUAUCAUUACUUGUCGAGUAUGAACUUGAGUUUCGGCUCAAAUAGUUAAUAUGAUGGAUCGUAACAAAUGAUCGGUUCACCUUCUUACAUUAGUCGAAAAGUAUUCCAAACUCGGGUUAAACAGUGUGAUAACCAAUCCACUAUUUAACACUAAAUGCGUUCUUCCUAUAGCCGACCGUAUCAGCCGAUAAGGUGUAUAUAUAUUUAUAUAUAUAUAUAUAUAUAUAUAUAUAUAUAUAUAUAUAUAUAAUAUUUACAGUUCAUGCCAUCUUAUAACUUGUGAAGUUUUUCAUUCUCCUCUGUGAUUUUAGGAUUUAUAGAAACUAUCUAUUAAUUUUAAUUAUUUAUUUUCCAUUAUAAAAUUUUGGUGCAUACUUUUCUAACAUUUAAAUGAUAUGAAAUCAUAUUACAUAUAUUUAUAUGAUAUUUCCCUUGCCAAACAUAAAUUUAAUGUUUUCUGUUUUAUCGCUUUUAUAAAUAAAAAUAUAAUUACAUCACAAAACCAUACAUUUAAAUAAAGAACAAGUAUAAAUUAAAUACUCUUACAUGCCAAAUUUGAAAUUAUAUUAUAUUCCUUUAUAAAAUUUAGUUUUAAUUUUCCUCUUUUUAUAUUUUUAAACAAUUUGAAUGUUUAAUAAAUUUAGUAAUAAUUUAUAUACCAAACAAAUAUGUUAAAAUAUGUUCAAUUUACAGAAUUUACCAUAUGAAGGCAAUCCAAUUCAAAAUUCAUUGAUAAAAUUCCCAGAUGCAGAGAAUGCUCCAUUGCCCAUAAAAGAGAAGAGAACUCCGCAUGCAUGGGGGGGGGGGAUAGGACCUUAUCCUUUCCGACUGAGCCGAACAGAUGAUUAUGCGACUCCAUAUCCAUGGUGAAACUACCUCCAAAGACUUUCGAGCUUGCCACCCAAGAUGCAUCCACUUGGCAUCAUGGUAGACGUGGCUCACUUGAAACGUAGGUGUCGCGGUCGUUGAAACAGCUUCUUGUAUCACUUGUGCUGCCUUCCAUUCCUCGGCUUCUUUGAUUGUGUGAUUCACAAUCUCCAAAGAGAGGAUAUCUUUACCAUUGAAGACCUUGUCGUUUCGUACUUUCCAUGUGAACACGAGAAUCCAUGAAAAACACGCUAGCACUGCGUUUGCGACCAUCCCUUUUCGCGCGUAAGAAAAGAUAGUCGAAGCUCUCAUAUAGAGAGUUACUCGGGAAAAUCCCCGGAGAUGAUGUUAUAUUUGAUAAGACCCAUGCUUGGAGGGCUGGAGGGCAUGUGAACAUGAGGUGAUUUACUGAUUCUGUGUCGCUACAGCAUCUCAUACACGACCGGUCAUGUCUACAAUGUCGAUCGACGAGUCGACUAGACGUUUUGAUACUGUCCGAAAGAGCUUGCCAUAGGAAGUGUUUGAUUUUUCUCGGUACCUUUAACUUCCAUAUUAGCGCUUUUAGUCCAUUUAGACUAGGUUCUUGGACUUGUGUCUUCUCCUUUUCUUCUUUUAACUGCGUCGCAAGCUGUGUAUGCUCCUGGUUGCAUAUGAUAUGAUCCAAACGACCAAAUCAUAAACAGAGAGGGGAAAAAAAAAAAACAUAAACGUCGCACCUAUUUGAUAGGGCAUGUCUGCAACCCUGUGCCCAAAGGCGAAUCUAGAUGUAGAUUUUAUUGGGUCCACAAAGCUUAUAUUAGAGAUGAAUGUGUGUCAUUUUAAUAAAUUCUUUUCAUUUUAGCUUAUAAAGUGAUCCAAAGCUGAAAUAUUAGUGGUGCACAUGCAGCCAUAGUCUUCUACCUAGCUUCGCCACUGCAUGUGCAUGUGGCUAAUGGGCCUGGGGGAGGGGGGUGAAAAUGUUUUCAGUAAUGAUUAAAAACAAUUCUUCAACGAUACUAGUCCAAACCGUACAUGUGUGACAAAAAAUGGAAAGAAUGUCCGAAUCCUUUUUUUUUGGAUAAAGUGUCCGAAGCCAUUUUCGAUCAGAUAUCAGUGAGAGGCUGCGUAGCUUUAUUACAUUGUCGUAGCUUAAUGGUUUUUUUUUUAUCGGCCAUAGCUCUGGAAAUUAAUUGGAAACAUUUACAACAAAUUUUAAAGCUGCUACUACAGACUUGUGGAUUACACGAUUAAUCUGGUUUUAGGUCAAAUGUAUUAUGUUUAGCCAUUUAGCCCAACACUUUCUGAGUAGAUAAUAACAAGACAUACUCAUCAUAACAGAAACAUACAUGAUCUUCAUGCAGUUCGUGAGCAACUACAUUACAUAUUAUACUUUUUUUUUGUUGGCACAUUACAUAUACGCAUCAAUGUAGAACUGGAUUUGAUCCAAAGCAAUGUAGAGUUGGAUUUAUUUUUUACUUUAAGAUUUCUUUUUUGUUGAAAUUUCUAACUAUAAACCAACCAAAAAUCAAUAUGUAAGAUAAUGUUGUGGAGUUCCGGACUGGACUCUGUUUUGGAUUGGUGUGUGCUUCUCGGCUAAGUUAGACUUUAGAUUUUAGCAAAAAAAUGCUGGGACUUUUGUCCUUUUUUUCUUGAGUAAAGUUGGAUCUCCGCCAUUGCAAUUCUAUAUUUCUAUAGCGUCGUUCCGCUUUGGAGUAACUUUUUUUUAAUCUGUUUUCUUAAGAGCAUCAGCAUCCGUUGAAACACUUCAAUCGUUUCUCAAACUUGCAAUAAUAAUAUAUUUUGCAUAAUUUUGUUAUUUAUUUAUUUUUUAAAUUUAUUAUAAAACAGAUCCAGUAACAGAGUGAAAAGUGGCCACAAAGUCUCUCCCAAAAUUUUAAAUGUGUUCUCUCUCCGUUUUUCUUUCAUCCUUUUUAUUAUUUUAAUACUUUUUGAUGUUUGAGAGAUAGAGCAAAAGACGUCCAGUGUACUUAGAGCAUGAUUAAUAUAAGAGCAGGAUUAACCCUGUCUCUUAGAUAGGUCUCUUAAUGUAAUUGUGAUUUAAAAAAAAAAAAUAAUAUAAUUACUACAGCAGACGUCUCUUAAAUAAGGUCUGGAAGAGACGUGUCUUAAGACACGUGUCGCUAUGAAAAAAAUUGGAAGUCUCGUCUCUUCUCUUCCUCUCUUCGUCUGCAUCUCUUCGACUCUGUUUCUCUCCCGAUGAUGAAUCCACAAGGCCAUCCCGAACCUGAUUCCGAUCUGAAUUGGUGUUAGAUAUAUGGUGGAUAAAGCAGAGGUAUAGGAAGAGAUCAAAGAGAUUAGAGCCGAUGAGGUUUCAUCAACCAACGGAGAUGCCAAUGGAUAUCCCUCUAUUAGUGAGAAGUUUGGUGAUAAAGACCCUGAGAAAGGGGUAGCAGCAGUAGUAGUAGUAGUAGAGUCAGAGAAUGGUGAUAGCAGCAGAUCAGGCUCGUUUAAUCACUUGAUUCUUAUAGGAACAUCCAAAACGUAAGUCCUUGUGACAGCUUUAUUUAUCUGAGGUUAUUGGGUGGUGUGGUGUGAUGCAGGCUUGCUUAUGGUUGUUAUGGUUGGUUGGUUAGUUCAUGUGGGAUUAGUUUUUUUGCUUCUGUGCUUCUGUUUCUUUGAUCACAAACAACGAGAAUGGAAUCUUACCAUCAUUUUGUCUAGCUUGGUUAGAGGAUGGAGUGUUAGCAUGGUUUAGCUUAUGGUAUGAACAUUCUCCAACGUGUGAGAGCUAAUGCUCUUUUGAUGUUCGUUUUUGAUUACGGGAAACCGAAAGGUGAAGAUUAGUUUAGUGCUAUGCCUAAUCCAUAUUUCUCAUAUUUAAUCUUUUUUCUUGAUAUUUGCUACAGAUAAAUGCAACGAAGAUGAGAACUUGCCAUCCAUGAAGAGGUUGUGGCUGGUGGUGAUGGAGUCAAACCAUCCUCAUAGCAACUGUGUAUGUGCCGUGCCUACUGCUAAAGGACCUUUCCUUGAGGAUCUCUCUCGGUGCCUCCAAAGAAGCCAAGCAUAGCUGAGGAGCCUGCAACAUCUGUGUCUCCGUUCUCUACGGCUCGUGCAUCUCACAACACAGAUAACUUUUCUUCUCUUACCAUUCUUCUCAUGUUCAGAAAAUAAUCAAAAACUUUUUAUACAUUUUUAUCACAAAUUAAUACAUUUUGAUCACAAAUUCAUACAUUUUGAUCACAAAUUAUACAAUAAUCAAAAACAAUGUUUAAUUUUUUUUAAGAACCCCUAAAUAAGAGACUCCCAUUGGAGCACAAAAAUGUUGAUGUCUCUUAACUAAGUCUCUUAAGUAACAUUUAAUAUUUAAAAAUCAUUAAGAGACCCAAAGUGGGUUUUUGGGUUAAUGAUGCUCUAAGGUUUUUAGGGUGAGAUUCUUAGCGGAAUAUAAGAACCCGUCUCUUAAUUUUUAAUAUCUUAUUUAAGAACCGGUUUUUAGCUUUCUUAGUUAAAAUAAUUUUUUUAAUUAAAAGUUAAGAGACGGAUUCUUAUAUUCCGCUAAAAAUCUCACCCUAAGAACCUCCCAUCAGUCAUGCUCUAAUGUCUCGUUUUUAUAGAUCGUUUUUAUAGAUUUUAAGCCCGUGCCUAUACAAUAUUUCUUUUAGUAUCAUUCUAGUUGUUAUAUUAUUUUCUUGUCAAGGCAUUGUUAUAUUGCUUUUAUGUGUUGUUUAGUAGUAGUUAACAUUGUUUAUAUCUGUAAUUUCAUCUCCUUAUAAAAAUUAUAUUCUUAAUUUCAAUAAAAUAAUUAUUUUAAAACAAACAAAAAAACUUCUAUAAUUUUAAUUUAAAUGUUUUUAAAACAUAAAAAAACACAGAUAUUUUCACAGUUUUUUAGACAUUAACUAUAUAUAAAAUGAUAUAGUAGAAAAAGGAAAAGGAGUGAAAUACCAAUCUUUCAAAAAAAGAAAUUAUCAAAAAAAAUGUUUGGAGAGUUUAUCUACACUUGCCAUUAUAUCAUUGGUUCAAUUUUGUUUGUAAUUUAAAAGUUACUAAAUAACUAAAUUUUACUAAAUUUAUUAAAAUUUAUAUUUAUAAAAAAAAACUUCAGGACUUUCUUAACUGAUAAUAAUGCGUGCUUGAUAAAAAGAUGUCUAAAUUGCUCAUUUGUUUUAUAAAGAAGCAUUCAGGACACUGAAGGCAAGAAGUUAUAUAUAUAGUAGUCUCCUGCGGCUUUCUAAAUAAACUAAUAUCGUUUUGGGCAUUUCCGCUGGGUUGUUUUUAUGGUUAAAUCCUAACUGUCUGAAUUUUGGACACAUCUUCUAUGUACUUAAAAGGGUGGAUUGUAUUAAGAGCAUUGUAAGAGUUUUUAAAAAAAAAAUUAAUAUAAAAUCACUAUUAAUUGAAGAUCUUAAAACAUUUCUUCUCAUCUGAUGUUAUUGAACAUAUAAUUCAUUUAAAAUUCUGUAUAAUAAUUCAAAAUUUGUUGUUAUUCAAUUAGUAAUUUUAAAAAAUCAUGUAAAAUCAUAUUUAUUCAAACAUUACUAACUUGUUUAACUUUGUUUGAAAUGAUUUUUUGAAAUUUUAAAAUACAUUUUUUAGAUAAAUAUGGAGGAGAAAGUCACAUUUAAAGCAUAAUAUCUGGAGUUAUAGGAGUUAAAUUAAAGAUACGAAUUCUAAAAAAAGAAGGUGGGUGUUGUGAGAGUAUAGCAGUGGAGAGUGGAACGCAAAAUUGAGUUUCAGUAGAACGAACCCUCAUCACUUAGACUAAGGUUGGAAAAAUCCGUACUAUGACGGCCUGAAGCUCAACCAAUUUGGCUAAGAUGCUGAUGUUGCUGUCGUAGAUAAUUUAGCUAGUCAAAACAUCGUAGUUUCUCACGGUGUAAGAUGCUGAUGUUGCUGUCGUAGAACAAAAAGGAGAAGCUUGAUUAUGAUAUGAUUGCCUUCAUGUUUGACUAGCUCUUGCUGCUUUUAUGUGAUAUUUAGAUGUGGGUAAGACAUGUUAUUAGUAAUAUGUGGUCUUAUGUUUUGAGUAAGGAAACAGUAUCUUAUUCAUGAGGAAAAAAAUAGUGAUCUAAUUACAUGAUCUAUAGUGCUCUUCGAUAUCGCAUAUCGCCUGUGGUUGAUUCGUUAUAUGUUGUAUUUGAUACCACUAAAGCAAAAACAUAUGAAGUUGAGAUAAUGAGGUGAUUAAUGACGACAUACUGAUCUUCUCUAAAGAUAUGCAUUUCAAUUAGAGUCAAAGUAGAAAACCCGAUCUGGUUUGGUCCCUAGAAACACCGGACUUGAUCUGAUCCAAAUACAUUAAUUCGAAAAUAGUAUUUUUUUAGUUAAAUCGAAUUGAAGUUAAAAAAAAUUUAAGGUUUAAUCGAUCAGGUUUUAUUAAACUAUAAAUUUUGCUUAAAAAUUUUUACUAGUUAAGAUAUAAGAUUAAAUAAGUUUUAAUAAAUUUAGGUUGUUUAUAAAUGUAUAUUGAAGCGAACAUAAGAAACCAAAAAAUAUCUAAAUCUUAUUACGUGAAAUAGUGUUUUGCUCUCUCUUCCUUGCGUCACGUAGGAUUCCACCUAAGAAAGUCGAACUCCAGCGUUACGACAUGUGUCACAUCCGCAUUAAACGCAUCAUUUCAUUUAAACAGAAGUUUGUUGGGUUUCGAUGGGAAAAGUGUCAAUUUCGACCCCAACAAUUUCAGUCGUGCCAAAUACGACCCAAACAAUUGAUCAGUGCCAAAUACGACCUCAACUCAUUUAUAAUUCGAAAAAACUACAUAAACUUCUUAAAACAUGUUUAAAUCUACAUUGAAUCUAACAGAAGUUAGUCAACCGUUAAAAAGAUAAAACGAUGUCGUUUUGAUAUACGAGGAAAAGUUUUAAAAAAAUAAUUUUAUUAAGAAAAUUUAUAUAAGAAAAUUUUAUAACUAAAUUCAAAGUUUUAAGUAUAUUUAAGAUCGUGUAAUAAUAGAUAUUUUAUUAUUUAUAUUUUAGGAAGAUAUAAUUUAUUAAAGAUAUGAUAAAUAAAAAAACAUGUUAAUGUAUUUAUAUAAAGCAGAAACAGUACGGUUUGACUUCCGGAGUGAACAUAGUUUAAAAAAAAUAAAUAUAUAUAUAUAUAUAUAUAUAUAUAUAUAUAUCAAAACGACGUCGUCGUAUCUUGUUAACGGUUGACUAACUUCUGUUAGAGUCAAUGUAGAUAUAUGCACGUUUUAAGAAGUUCAUGUAUUUUUUCUUAAAUUAUAAUUAAGUUGAAGUUAGUUUUGGCAAUGACCAUUUGUUCGGGUCCUAUUUGGCACGACCUAAAUUGUUGGGGUCGAAAUUAUUUUAGUCUAGUUGUUAGUGUGCCCCUUUAAAAGGAUAUCUCGGCACGGGUUUGAGUCCCGAAAUGAACAUAUUUAAAUAUAUAUAUAUAUAUAUAUAUAUAUAUCAAAAUGACGUCGUCUUAUCUUGUUAACAGUUGACUAACUUCUGUUAGAGUUAAUGUAGAUUUAUGCACGUUUUAAAAAGUUUGGAUAAUUUUUCUUAAAUUAUAAUUGAGUUGAAGUCGUUUUUGGCACUGAUCAUUUGUUCGGGUCCUAUUUGGCACGACUGAAAUUGUUGGGGUCGAAAUUGGCUCUUUUCUUUGUAUAUCAAAACGACGUCGUUUUAUUUUGUUAACAGUUGACUAACUUCUGUUAGAGUCAAUGUAGAUCCAAGCACGUUUUAAGAAGUUUGGGUAGUUUUUUCAAAUUAUAAUUGAGUUGAGAUCGUAUUUGGCACUCACCAAUUGUUCGGGUCGUAUUUGGCACGACUGAAAUUGUUGGGGUCGAAAUUGGCACUUUUCCCGGGUUUCGAUACUUGCCGUGUAUCAUUAAGUUUGGUAUUUAGUGGGUUUCAUCAUGUGAUUAUGGGUUACUUUUGGACGGGCCUAGACAUAAAUUUAAUUGAACCCCAAUUUGCUCCACGUAUAGAGGGUCAUCCUCUUGGUUAAUCCGCCGUCGCAACAAGAACGUUUCGGGCCCUAAGUUCUUAUGAAUCGAAUCGUCGUCUUCAAUGAUCUCAUUAACAAUUUCUCCUCCACACCUCAUACGAUCUAUCAUUGAAUGCAUGCUCUUUUAGUCCCUUUCUCAUAAUUUUCGGCUAUAAAAAGGGGUGUGAAAGGGUGACACACAGUAAUAAAGAACUAUGGCAUCUCAAUGUCCCAGUGCUAUGGUUGAAAUCAAUAUAACGCGGCGAUAUUAAAUAGUGGUGAGGUUUCUGGUGAUGAAUAAGUUAGACGUCGGUGCCUGUGAUUAACACGAAGAAGUUGGAACUGCCGGCGAUGGAUCCCUUGAAAGCGGAGAUGAGGCUACUGAUAAUGAAAAAUUGAUCGGAGAGAAUAAGUCACAAGUGAAUCUUACAAAAAAAGAUUAUUGAACGAGCGCACCCAGGAGGUUCAAGAAGACGUAAAAUGGGAUAGCCAAUCCUCACCACACCGUGCUCGAUACGAUGACAAGUUUCUGGCUUAUUAGAGAUAAACAUGUAAAUUGUAAAAUUAUUAAAAUGAUUUUGAUCCAGUUUCGUAUUUGCAUCAACAAUUGUAAUUUUUUUUAAACCCUUUUAUUUAAAAUAAUUUUAUUAUCUUAUAUAUUAAAAUAAAAGUCAUGACUU